rnacentral:tRNA from 1 species
GCCCAGGUGGCGGAAUCGGCAUACGCACACGUUUGAGGGGCGUGGGCCCGAAAGGGCGUGUGGGUUCAAAUCCCACCCUGGGCACCA